rnacentral:rRNA from 1 species
UACGGAGGGUGCAAGCGUUAAUCGGAAUUACUGGGCGUAAAGCGCGCGUAGGCGGCUGAGUAAGUCGAUUGUGAAAUCCCCGGGCUCAACCUGGGAACUGCAUCCAAAACUGGCAAGCUAGAGUACGGUAGAGGGUGGUGGAAUUUCCUGUGUAGCGGUGAAAUGCGUAGAUAUAGGAAGGAACACCAGUGGCGAAGGCGACCACCUGGACUGAUACUGACACUGAGGUGCGAAAGCGUGGGGAGCAAACAGG